rnacentral:rRNA from 1 species
UGGGGAAUAUUGCGCAAUGGGGGCAACCCUGACGCAGCAACGCCGCGUGCAGGAAGAAGGUCUUCGGAUUGUAAACUGUUGUCGCAAGGGAAGAAGACAGUGACGGUACCUUGUGAGAAAGUCACGGCUAACUACGUGCCAGCAGCCGCGGUAAUACGUAGGUGACAAGCGUUGUCCGGAUUUACUGGGUGUAAAGGGCGCGUAGGCGGACUGUCAAGUCAGUCGUGAAAUACCGGGGCUUAACCCCGGGGCUGCGAUUGAAACUGACAGCCUUGAGUAUCGGAGAGGAAAGCGGAAUUCCUAGUGUAGCGGUGAAAUGCGUAGAUAUUAGGAGGAACACCAGUGGCGAAGGCGGCUUUCUGGACGACAACUGACGCUGAGGCGCGAAAGUGUGGGGAGCAAACAGGAUUAGAUACCCUGGUAGUCCACACCGUAAACGAUGGAUACUAGGUGUAGGAGGUAUCGACCCCUUCUGUGCCGCAGUUAACACAAUAAGUAUCCCACCUGGGGAGUACGACCGCAAGGUUGAAACUCAAAGGAAUUGACGGGGGCCCGCACAAGCAGUGGAGUAUGUGGUUUAAUUCGAAGCAGCGCGAAGAACCUUACCUGGGCUUGACAUCCCUGGAAUCGAGUAGAGAUACUUGAGUGCCUUCGGGAAUCAGGUGACAGGUGGUGCAUGGUUGUCGUCAGCUCGUGUCGUGAGAUGUUGGGUUAAGUCCCGCAACGAGCGCAACCCCUAUUGUCAGUUGCCAUCAUUAAGUUGGGCACUCUGGCGAGACUGCCGGUGACAAAUCGGAGGAAGGUGGGGACGACGUCAAAUCAUCAUGCCCCUUAUGCCCAGGGCUACACACGUACUACAAUGGCCGAUAACAAAGUGCAGCGAAACCGUGAGGUGGAGCGAAUCACAAAACUCGGUCUCAGUUCAGAUUGCAGGCUGCAACUCGCCUGCAUGAAGUUGGAAUUGCUAGUAAUCGCGGAUCAGAAUGCCGCGGUGAAUACGUUCCC